AGUUGCCAUCAGUUCGGCUGGGCACUCUAGAGAAACUGCCGGUGACAAGCCGGAGGAAGGCGGGGAUGACGUCAAGUCCUCAUGGCCCUUAUGGGCUGGGCUACACACGUGCUACAAUGGCGGUGACAGUGGGCAGCGAAGGGGCGACCCCUAGCUAAUCCUCAAAAACCGUCUCAGUUCGGAUUGCACUCUGCAACUCGAGUGCAUGAAGGUGGAAUCGCUAGUAAUCGCGGAUCAGCAUGCCGCGGUGAAUACGUUCCCGGGCCUU
rnacentral:rRNA from 1 species